rnacentral:rRNA from 1 species
GAAUCAACGCUGGCGGGCGUGCCUCAGACAUGCAAGUCGAACGAUUAAACUUUCCUUCGGGGAAGAUAUAGAGUGGCGCACGGGUGAGUAACACGUAAGUAAUCUACCCUUGGGUGGGGAAUAACAUCGGGAAACCGAUGCUAAUACCGCAUAAUGCAGCGGCUUCUUAUGAAGACAGUUGUUAAAGCAUUUAUGUGCCUGAGGAGGAGCUUGCGGCAGAUUAGCAGUUGGUAAGGUAAUGGCUUACCAAGGCGACGAUCUGUAGCCGACCUGAGAGGGUGGUCGGUCACACUGACACU